GGAUAAAAGGUACUCUGGGGAUAACAGGCUGAUACCGCCCAAGAGUUCAUAUCGACGGCGGUGUUUGGCACCUCGAUGUCGGCUCAUCAUAUCCUGGUUGAGAAUAAUCUUCCAAGGGUCGGUCUGUUCUACCGUUAAAAUGGUACGUGAGCUGGGUUUAGAACGUCGUGAGACAGUUCGGUCCCUAUCUGCUGUGGGCGUAGGAGAUUUGAGAGGAGCUGUCCUUAGUACGAGAGGACCGGGAUGGACGAAGCUCUGGUGUACCAGUUGUGCCGCCAGGUGCAAUGCUGGGUAGCGAUCUUCGGCAGGGAUAACCGCUGAAAGCAUCUAAGCGGGAAGCCCCCCUCAAAACAAGGUAUCCCUGAGGGCCGUGGUAGACCACCACGUCGAUAGGCCGGAGGUGUAAGCGCAGCAAUGCGUUCAGCUGACCGGUACUAAUGGCCC
rnacentral:rRNA from 1 species